CCACAUUUGCUAUUUAUUUGCCCGUAGAGUGUAAAAUCUAUCCAUAAGCGAACAGCAGUUAGUAGCGGUAACAACUGAGAAGAGAAAAUAACAGUGACGACAGCUUUUUAUUAUAAAAAAGAUUAAAGCGAGAAGCAAGCUGAAAAAGAAAAAAUAAGAAAAAGUAUAAUACAUAGAAGUCUAUUGUCAUGUCUUAAAAAACAGUCGUGUACGUAAUUCAUUCCAAAUCAUAUGAAAUUUUUGUGAAUAUGAUACCUCACCUUCGAUCAAUUAAAUUAUCAAUAAAGAACAGAUGAUUAAUUAUGACAGCAGUAUGUGAUGACAAUUAAUCCAAUUACAUAUAAAAUUACAAGACUGCACAAAUAAAAGAUUGGGGCAAAUAAUCAACAAACCAAGUGGUGUAUAUUCAAAUCGAAAAGACAGAAAAUCAUACAAGAAGAGAUUAUGAGUGGAAGACAGGAUGCUCAGAAUAAACCGCUAAACAAAAUAACAUGCACAUUAUGUGGCUGUCAGUUUGAAAAUUACACUAUAAUUACAGUGCAUAGUGUAAAAUCUAUCCAUAAGCGAACAGCAGUUAGUAGCGGUAACAACUGAGAAGAGAAAAUAACAGUGACGACAGCUUUUCAUUAUAAAAAGGACUAAAAGUAAGAGGCGAGUUCAAAAAGAAAAACAGCACAAAUAACAGAUUGGGGCAAACAAUCAACAAACCAAGUGGUUAAAAUUCAAACUGAAAAGACAGAAAAUCAUACAAGCAGAGACUAUGAGUGGAAGACAAGAUGCUCAGAAUAAACAGCCAAACAAAUUGACAUGCAGCAUAUGUGGCGCGCAGUUUGAUAAUGUCACUACAUAUACAGGACAUAUGCUCCGUCAUAUUGCUGAUAAAAAAUAAAAUAAUUUUUUGUUAAUUAUUCAUUAAUUAGAAAUCGUAUUAAAUAAGUAAUGAACAUCUCCCAUCAACCUAAAUCAAUCAUAAUGACCGACAACGGCUUAUUUAAUUUUAUACUCGCACUCUUUUCUUUUCUUUUUUGGUUUAAAGUCCGAUAUUAAUUUUCUAACAUAAUGACAACGCGUGCAGUUGUGCGAUACCUGACAACUUCGAUCCAUACUGUAUGUGCGAAACGAUUAGUACACAGAAAAAAUUUUGUCUGAAAAUUUAUCCAGAAAUUCAUGGCAAUCAUGGGACAAUAACA